rnacentral:RNase_P_RNA from 5 species
GAGGAAAGUCCGGGCUCCAUAGGGCAGGGUGCCAGGUAACGCCUGGGAGGCGCAAGCCUACGACAAGUGCAACAGAGAGCAAACCGCCGAUGGCCCACGCAAGUGGGAUCAGGUAAGGGUGAAAGGGUGCGGUAAGAGCGCACCGCGCGGCUGGCAACAGUUCGUGGCAUGGUAAACUCCACCCGGAGCAAGGCCAAAUAGGGGUUCGCAUGGUACGGCCCGUACUGAACCCGGGUAGGCUGCUUGAGCCAGUGAGCGAUUGCUGGCCUAGAGGAAUGACUGUCCACGACAGAACCCGGCUUA